CUUUGUCAUGAGUCUUUCAAAGUAGAGUGGAUGAGGGAGAGAGCAGGCAUCAGGUGUCCACCGGAGCUCAGUCUCUACAGCCCUUGAUAACAGUGAACAGGUUUCACUUGGAGCUUCUCAACGGUGACGGGUCCCUGUCUAAUGUGUCAGACUUCUGAAGAGUGCUUCAUGCCGAG
rnacentral:lncRNA from 14 species